GGUCCCCUGGAUCCCGCCAUUGCUGGGAACACACCUGACUCUCACAAACGCCAAGGGGCUGAAGUUUCGCUGAAACGCAAACCAACCCCAGAAGUCCACCCAGGUGGUUGCUGUCACGCCGUGAGACACAAACCCAAGAGAUUAUUUUCUAUCAGAAGAAAGAUGGCAUACUUAAACCGCACUUGGAGAAGAUACGAGGUGUGCUGAACGCAGGAUACAAGAAAGACCCAAUAAUCUUGUGAGCUCACCAAAGGGUUGGAAAAGGUGGGUGCCAGAGAAUCCCAGAACUGGACUGAAAUUUUCUUGCCAGACUUAAAAAAAACAUCCUGAAGAGGAAAGUAUACACAUCCUUAAAGGGAACCAGAUACUCCGCCAGGCUGGACAAGCAAAACUCUCCAUAUUAACAUGCUUGUAACUGAAUACAGGUGUGUAUCAGAGACGAGGAGAAUUCUGAGCCUUGUUUGUGGCAAUUCUACCAGGAGGGGACUGCAUGGUGCCACCAUAAAUUUCAUAAAUUACCCUGAACAUACUCAGUUAUUCACUAUUUGUUCGGAGCAAAGCAUGAAAUAGUCUUCAAACACAUGAAUUACAGAUUUUGAGAGAGUGACAUUUUUAAACAUAAAGUGCAACAGUGCUGAAGUUUUCAGUUUUUGUUAGUUCUUCAUUGUUUGUAACUGCCAUGUCCUGCAAGCAGAACUAUGGCACAGUGAAUAUAACAGAAAGCAGUUUCCAACACA